rnacentral:rRNA from 1 species
GUCUAUGUUCAUUGGAACAUGGCGUCAUAGAGGGUGAGAAUCCCGUAUGUGACUGUGGCUCGAGCCCAUGUGAAGCCUCUUCGACGAGUCGAGUUGUUUGGGAAUGCAGCUCAAAAUGGGUGGUAAAUUUCAUCUAAAGCUAAAUACUGGCUGGAGACCGAUAGCGCACAAGUAGAGUGAUCGAAAGAUGAAAAGCACUUUGGAAAGAGAGUCAAACAGUACGUGAAAUUGUUGAAAGGGAAGCGCUUGCAACCAGACCUGUCCGUAGGUGAUCAGCCGCUGUUCUCAGCGGUGCACUCGCUCUGCGAUCAGGCCAGCAUCGGUUUCGGCGGUUGGAUAAAGGCCUUGGGAAUGUAGCUCCCUUCGGGGAGUCUUAUAGCCCUCGGUGCAAUGCGGCCAGCCGGGACCGAGGACCGCGCUUCGGCUAGGAUGCUGGCGUAAUGGUUGUAAGCGACCCGUCUUGAAACACGGACCAAGGAGUCUAACAUCUAUGCGAGUGUUUGGGUGUUAAACCCAUGCGCGGAAUGAAAGUGAACGGAGGUGAGAACCCUUUAGGGCGCAUCAUCGACCGAUCCAGAUGUCUUCGGAUGGAUUUGAGUAUGAGCAUAGCUGUUGGGACCCGAAAGAUGGUGAACUAUGCCUGAUUAGGGUGAAGCCAGAGGAAACUCUGGUGGAGGCUCGCAGCGUUUGCAAUUCGAUCGUCAAAUUUGGGUAUAGGGGCGAAAGAC